rnacentral:tRNA from 1 species
GCGGGGGUUGCCGAGCCAGGCCAAAGGCGGUGGACUCAAGGCCUUUGGUGGGACAUCCACUCCCGAAGGGGUCCGAGGGUUCAAAUCCCUCCCCCCGCA